GACGGAGGAUGCAAGUGUUAUCCGGAAUUACUGGGCGUAAAGCGUCUGUAGGUGGUCAAAUAAGUCAACUGUUAAAUCUUGAGGCUCAACCUCAAAAUCGCAGUCGAAACUAUUAGACUAGAGUAUAGUAGGGGUAAAGGGAAUUUCCAGUGGAGCGGUGAAAUGCGUAGAGAUUGGAAAGAACACCGAUGGCGAAGGCACUUUACUGGGCUAUUACUAACACUCAGAGACGAAAGCUAGGGUAGCAAAUGGG
rnacentral:rRNA from 1 species